AAUCAACGCUGGCGGCGUGCCUCAGACAUGCAAGUCGAACGAUUAAGACUUCCUUCGGGAAGUGUAUAAAGUGGCGCACGGGUGAGUAACACGUAAGUAAUCUACCUUCGAGUGGGGAAUAACGUUCGGAAACGAACGCUAAUACCGCAUAAUGCAGCGGCAUCGCAAGAUGACAGUUGUUAAAGGAAUUUAUUUCGCUUGAAGAGGAGCUUGCGGCAGAUUAGCUAGUUGGUAAGGUAACGGCUUACCAAGGCUACGAUCUGUAUCCGGUCUAAGAGGACGGUCGGACACACUGACACUGAAUAACGGGUCAGACUCCUACGGGAGGCAGCAGUCGGGAAUUUUGGGCAAUGGGCGAAAGCCUGACCCAGCAACGCCGCGUGAAGGAUGAAGUAUUUCGGUAUGUAAACUUCGAAAGAAUGGGAAGAAUAAAAUGACGGUACCAUUUAUAAGCUCCGGCUAACUACGUGCCAGCAGCCGCGGUAAU
rnacentral:rRNA from 1 species